CGAGCCAUAUUCAGAUGAUGCUGGCGGAGCGACACAUCAGCUUUCGCCGGCAAGCCUGACGCCAUCCAACGUGCACAUAGACAAAUUUAGCAUGCCUGUCAUACGUACGCGGAUCUUUUGUUGCGUUAUGAGAGACCGAUUUCGUGGUCCACCCCAAACUGUUAUUUUUUUUAGUAGCUGUAUACACACCUGCCUGUCAUCUGGAAGGCACGAAGCUCUCGUCCUUUGCACCCGUGCAAUCCAUUUUUCACGACGGACCGUGUCUCUUCCAAACUUAUGAAGGACUCACCUUUGUGGCUUCUCCUCCUCCCAUUUGUCUCUUGCUGGCCAACUGGUUCUUUAGGUCUUUAAUCUCUGCCUCCAGGAGCUGGAUCACCUCCUCAUAGUCCUGCUCGGCACUGCUCACGUUACGCUGCACCACCACAGCUUCUGCUGCUUGCAGGCGGCUCUUCAGACGGACAUUCUCCUCCACUGUUAAACACGCUUUCUGAAAGGGAGUGGAAUGCCGACGUGUCCAUCAGACUGGCUGCUUCGUGGUAGGAGAACAUGAAGGGAGCUGCCCCUAAACUGAGCUCCUCCAGGUUGUCCUGGAAAAUGGUCCGUGUGGCUUCUACAAAGUCUGCCAGAGUUCAG